AACGAACGCUGGCGGCGUGCUUAAUACAUGCAAGUCGAACGAGAACACUCCCUUCGGGGGUAAGUAAAGUAGGCGCACGGGUGAGUAACACGUGGGUAAUCUGCCUCCGAAUUGGGGAUAACACUGCGAAAGCGGUGCUAAUACCGAAUGAUGUCCCUUGAACUCCGGUUUGAGGAAUCAAAGGUGGCCUCUACAUGUAAGCUACCGUUUGGAGAUGAGCCCGCGUACCAUUAGCUUGUUGGUGGGGUAAUGGCCCACCAAGGCGACGAUGGUUAGCUGGUCUGAGAGGAUGAUCAGCCACACUGGAACUGACACACGGUCCAGACUCCUACGGGAGGCUG
rnacentral:rRNA from 1 species